GCAAGUCGAACGGCAGCAGCAGAAAGCUUGCUUUCUGGCUGGCGAGUGGCGGACGGGUGAGUAAUGUAUAGGAAUCUGCCUAGUUGUUGGGGAUAACUCGGGGAAACUCAAGCUAAUACCGACUGUGCCCUACGGGGUAAAGCGGGGGAUCUUCGGACCUCGUGCUAUUAGAUGAGCCUAUGUCCGAUUAGCUAGUUGGCGGGGUAAUGGCCCACCAAGGCGACGAUGGGUAGCUGGUCUGAGAGGAUGAUC
rnacentral:rRNA from 1 species